rnacentral:rRNA from 1 species
GGUACCUACGGGGCGCAGCAGUGGGGAAUAUUGGGCAAUGGGCGCAAGCCUGACCCAGCAACGCCGCGUGAAGGAAGAAGGCUUUCGGGUUGUAAACUUCUUUUCUCAGGGACGAAGCAAGUGACGGUACCUGAGGAAUAAGCCACGGCUAACUACGUGCCAGCAGCCGCGGUAAUACGUAGGUGGCAAGCGUUAUCCGGAUUUACUGGGUGUAAAGGGCGUGUAGGCGGGGACGCAAAUCAGAUGUGAAAACCACG